AAACACUAAAAACUAAUUUGGGGAAAAAUAAUGAAAAAUUCAAAAACACUAGAAUGUCCAUCACUGAUGUUAGUUAUGAGAUAAGAAUAAUAACAAUAGAACUUAUUGCAGAAUACUAUGAUCUCCUAAGCUACUAUACCAACAUAUCAUGACCAACAUGCAGUUGCACAAUGUUCAAAAAUUUCUCUCUGCGAAUGAACUAUCAAUGGAGGAACUCUAGAUUGUCUUUUUAACGUCAGGAACCAAUUCCUGUUACUCAACUUGUAAGGGAAACUGCUACUGUUAUGCAGGAGUUCACAUAGUCAGGAAUUGUAACAUGUGAGGUGCAUUUGCCUAAUAGAUGGUUCAGAUGAUGGUUCAGAUGCCGAGUAUGAGCCCAAUAAUAGUAGUGAUGAUGAUGAUGGUGAUGACUAGUUUUGAGGACUUUUUGGAUAUGAUACAGUUUGGAUGGUUUUUAACUUUUUGGAUAAUUUAGAAUUUAAGGAUAGUUCUUUUGGAUGGUUUUGAACGUACGGUUAAUUUUUAAAUGUUUGGAAUGUAUUGACAAUUUUUGAAUGUUCAUAAUUUAUGGAUGUAGUUUAUUUUUUA